rnacentral:lncRNA from 1 species
AUUGGAAAUUGGUAUUUUUAACUCAUUUCAGAGAGAGGCUUGAGUAUCGAAAAUAAGAAUGGCAGAACUUCCACCUGGUUCGCGCGGUGAUUUUUCAAGCGAGCCGCGCUAGUUGACGCCUCGGAGACCCGUGGGCGAGAUCUUGAGGACGCCCGGGGAUUUUUGGCACCGCUCGGCCCGAUAGCGUGCUCGGCUUUUCCGAUCCGGCGGUCUUUGUACCAAGUAUUAACUCAGUUCCGCCGAGGAAUCCGGGAAAAGUGCCGCUUUGUCCGCUCGACGUUGUGCCCCCGGUGUUUUUCGCGUCACCCCCCCCCCCGCAAAAUCAACCCUCGAACCGAUUUACCCACCCCUUGUUCCGAAAUUUCGAUUGCACGAAAACACCGCGUCGGUGUCCCCCGAAAAUCCCGCGAACCCCCGAGAUCUCGACUCCCCUCCGACGCGACGGCCGGUUCUCCUUCGAUUCGCCCCGAAGUGGCUCGCCUCCGAGUGACGUCCUCCCGAGAUGGAUUACGAGCAGUCGCACCGGUUUUCGAGUUGGCUCCUCUUUUGGAUUUUGAUCGGGUGCCGCUUCCGAAGCAGGUCUGCUUUUCCGGAUAUGUGAUACCCGACGAUCGGGGAUUUUCGGUUUGUGUUCGAGCGAGUGGAUUGGUUCUGCACCUCAGUGUCCUGUGUUCUCCUGCGAAAGCUACCUGCAUCCAACACCAGUAUUUUGUCGAUGUGUCUCGGAGCGGACACAAAUGCGUUCAUGAAUCUGCAGACGAGGAAGUGCGUAAAACGAUUGAUAAAAUGAAACAGUUCGCGAACUCUGUUGAAAGGCAAGAUUUUCAAAUGAAUUUUAAUUCAAUGCCCUGAAUAAAAAAUUAAAACCUUUACCUAAUCCGUAAGUUGUCGAUAAAGUAAUGAACUUGAAAAUUCGUUCUGUUGAAAAGCUACGCAUUUACUGAAUUCUACCAUAUCGGCAACUCUGCUUAAGUUGUCGACUGGAGAGUACAAGCAAUAUGUAUCAUGCAAAGCGGAACGUGGAGCUAAAAUUUGAUCCGAUCUCGAGGGGCGUGCCGCACGCCUUCCGGCGGUACAAAUCCCUGCGACGGUUCGACGGCGGCAAGCACAAAUG